rnacentral:tRNA from 1 species
GGUUGUCGCUCAGUGGUAGAGCGCUUGCCUAGCACGUGUGAGGCACUGGGUUUGAUUCUCAGCACCA